rnacentral:rRNA from 1 species
AAAGGAAUUGACGGGGACCCGCACAAGCAGCGGAGCAUGUGGUUUAAUUCGAAGAUACGCGAAAAACCUUACCAAGACUUGACAUUUCCUGCAUAACCUAGAAAUAGGCGAAAUCCCUCGGGACAGGAGGACAGGUGGUGCAUGGUUGUCGUCAGCUCGUGUCGCGAGAUGUUGGGUUAAGUCCCAGAACGAGCGCAACCCUUAUCGUCAGUUGCUAACAUUUAGUUGAGAACUCUGGCGAGACUGCCGUAGAUAAUACGGAGGAAGGCGGGGAUGACGUCAAAUCAUCAUGCCCCUUACGUCUUGGGCUACACACGUGCUACAAUGGCCGUUACAAAGCGCAGCAAAACAGUAAUGUCGAGCAAAUCGCAAAAAAGCGGUCUUAGUUCAGAUUGUGGGCUGAAACUCGCCCACAUGAAGCCGGAGUUGCUAGUAAUCCCAAAUCAGCAUGUUGGGGUGAAUGCGUUCCCGGGUCUUGUACACACCGCCCGU